CAGAACAUUAUAUUAAGAAUUAUUGUCCGAAGGCAAUAAUCUGUGGUAUGAGUAUUUUCUUUAAUCUUAUGUUUAAUGUUCUAGCAUAAGUAAUUCCAACCAAGAGUUGUGCUCAGAAAACAACGUAGUCAAGACUCAAUUAGUGGACUUUUCAUAUUUUAGGUAGUCAUUAGUCAAGUAGACUUGAGCUCUUUCUCCUUAACAUCCUUUUAUUAAGUUGAAAAGUUUACUUUUGUCACUUAAAGUGAUACAUCUUGUAGAACAGAAAAUGGAUGAAGUGGUUAUUCUUCCCGAUCGCAGCUUAUAAUAUUAAUCUCAACAUAAGCUGGGUUGCUGAAAUCUGAGUACUGCUCUGGGAUUUUUCCUGUCUACUUCUAUUGUCUAGGCCCCUUUGAUUGUUUAAGUUUGCAUAAGUAGUUUCUCAUUGAGUUAUACUUGCUCCAUUUCAAAGUAGUAGUCCAAUUUGACUUUUUGUGGUCAAAUUGACCAAACUUUGACUGAAAUUUACAUGUAUUUAAUAACUAUUAAAGAGUAUAUAUAAUUUACUUUAAAAUGUAUUUUCAAUAUCAGAAAUUGUGAAAGAAGAUUUUUUUUAUUUUUUUUUGCUAAAUGAAAGAAGAAUUUUUAAUAUCAGUCAAACCAAAUUUCGUCAAUUCGACGGCAAAAAAUUAAAUUGAACUACUAAUUUGAAACGGAGGGAGUAACUAACGAGGAGAUAUUAAAAUUUAAUAUAAGAUUAUAAGUUUUAACUUAUAUGCGCUUUGUUCUUACUAAUAUUAUAUUUUUACCCUACUUAGGAACCGGGGAAUUACCUUAGGAAGCUUUCAAGCUGGUUCUGCUAAAGUGGGAAUAUCAAGCUCUUACCUAGAACAUGAUGCUGAAAUAGUUGGGCAUGCACAAGUAAUUUCUGAUCCGUUUUUAUGUUCAAUGAGUUAUCGUCAUAAGCAAUGUGAAUCACUAAAACUCUAUAUUGGAAAGCAUCAUUUGUCUUCACAUGCUGGCAUGAGGUACAGUAAAGAUGAGGAUGAUGAUCUCGGGGAUGGGUUUUCUGAGCUUGAAACUCUAGCUAGUGCUGAUGAGACCCAAGCAAGAAGUGCAUCAUGUGAAGGUACUGAUGAAUUGAUAUCUGAAUCUGAGCUUUCUGCUAGGGGCAGUGAUGACGAAGUGGCGGGAUGUAAAAAAGAGCUGGAAUUAUCAGAUAUUAAGGCUGAGAGAAGUAAGAAAAAUGUUGAACAAAAAAGUACUUCUGGCAAAUUGUUGAACGCUGUUAUAACUGCUCCAGCCUUGUCUAUUAAAAGUGUGUUGCACAAGUGGGUUGAAGAUGGAAAUGAGGUGAAAAAAUAUCAUAGAAAAAAGAUCAUUUCAUAUCUUCAGGAACGUCAGAUGUAUGGGAGGGCCUUGCAGGUUUGUUGACAGUUUGCAUAUAAUUCCUGCUUGGUUAUCCAAUAUGCCGCAUCUGUGUUGACAUACUCACUUGUUAGUCUCUUAAAAGAUAGAUAUCUUGGUCAACAACUGUAAAAAUAUAUUGUUAUGAAAACUACUACUAUAUUCUAAGCACGGUAAAAUGCGGUAUGAAAACUAUCUAUGGUAUAAGCAUGGUAUAAUCAAUUGCCCUAGGUUUCUAAUUAUCUGAGUACAUAAAUAUUUUAUCCACAUUAGUUGGUCAUUAUUAUUAGUAAAUUAACUUUUUAACAUGCAACUUUUACUUGGUAAUACAGACAAAAGCAAUGCAUAAUUGAGUAUAAGAACUUCAAACCUCGUCUUUGCCUGGUGUCCUUUUCCAAAUCAUUUAUGUACCAGUUUCUUUGAAAGUUGUAACAAUGUAAAACUUGAAAUAAAUACUUAAUUAUAUUUCUCAUACUUUAGCUUAAAUCCAAAAUCACUUUCGUUUUAAGACUUUUAAGUUGUCAUUCCGUUCAUCUGUGUUAACCUAUUCCAUUUGCAUCUCUGAGGCUAUAACAAAUUACUUGUGUCAAUAUUUAGAAGCACGCUAGACAUUUUCACUAUAAAUACUUGAAUUUUUUUUUUUUUUUUUUUUUUUUGGGGGGGGGGGGGGGGGGGGCGCUAAAAACGAACUCAUUUGUGCUUGCAACUCAUAAGACAAUUACUACAAACGAACGCUUGCCUUUUCUGUUGGAUCUCCUGUGAUCGCUUCAUUUUCCGGCAUUGUUCAUAUGUGUUUUUGGUACGCUGCAUCCUGUCUGAUGUGUCCAAGGAUCCCCUCCCCCCCCCCCCCCCCCCCAAAUGCAUUCAGCGACAUACAUAAUUCCAAUAUAGUCAAAUCUCAGUUCUUUCUCAUCAGAACAACUAUUUUACCCGAACAAGACAAGAAGACAUUCAUAUGCACAACACUCACUCAUUCAUAUGCACAACACUCACACACACACACACACACAUCUAUCUUCAGUCAGUAUGCGCUGGAUUAUGCUUUGAAUCCCUAGUGAUUAUCUCUGCCAGUUGAUAUACCUACUUGAAAUAUACUGCACUCUGACAAUGGAAUUUUGGUGGGUUCUUUUUUUUUUACUAAAUGCCCCAACAUUGGUGAAGAUUAAAAGAGUUUUUGUAUAAAACCAAACUAUAUAUUUUAACCAAAUUAUGUUGCUUUGUUUUGUCUAGGAUUCUGUGUAAAAGGUCAAGGAUCAUAUAGAAUGAUACUAAUCUGUUAGGGCUACAUAAUCUAACUAUCUGCUGUACUGUUAUACAGGUCUUAGAAUGGUCUGCGGAUCGAUAUGAAUUUUCUGAAAGAGAUUAUGCUUCUCGCCUUAAUUUGACUGCCAAAGUACAGGGCCUUGUAAAAGCAGAACAGUACAUUAAGGAGAUUCCAAAAGCUCACAGAGGAAAGGUUGUCUGCCAGACAUUUUUGGCUACUUGUGUCGUCGUCGAAAAUUUAAAGAAGGCAGAAGAAGUGUUCAACAAAAUGAAAGACUUGGGGAUUCCGCUUACAGCCUUCGCUUGUAAUCAACUGCUCUUGAUGUGUAAGAGAACUGACAAGAAGAAAAUGGCUGACAUAUUGGUCCACAUGAAGAACGAAAAUGUCAACCCCACUGCCUUCACUUAUAAUCUAUUAAUAGACACCAAAGGCCUGUACAAAGAUAUAAGUGGAAUGGAUCAAAUAGUAAAAACCAUGAAGGAAGAGGGAAUAGAGCCUGUUAAGCAGACUCUUAACAUAAUGGCAAAGCAUUACAUCUCUGCCGGGUUUAUAGAUAAAGCUGAAGCUGUUGCGAAAGAGAUGGAAGGAGGUGAUUUAAGGGAUAACCGUGAUGCUUGCAGGUAUUUGUUGGAAAUAUAUUCAUUGCUUGGGAAGGCAGACGAAGUGAAUAGAAUUUGGAAAUUUUGUGAAUCCGAUGCCAAUUAUUUUGAGUGUGUAGCUGCUAUUGAAGCUUUAGGAAGAUUAAAGAAUAUUAAAAAAGCAGAAGAAGUCUGCGAGCAGACGAGAAAAGGGUGGAGAAAGUCCUCUUCAAAGGUUUAUUCUACUCUGUUGAAAGUCUAUGUGGAUAAUAAAAUGCUGACCGAGGGAAGAGAUUUGGUGAAGCAGAUGGCAGAGAGUGGGUGCAUUAUUGGUCCACUAGUUUGGGAUGCGCUUGUCAGACUUCAUGUGGAAGCUGGUGAGGUAGAAAAAGCCGACACAAUUUUGCACGAGGCUAUUCAGCAAAAGCAGAUGAAGCCUUUCUUUUAUACAUUCAGAACAAUUAUGGAGCAGUAUUCCAAGAUGGGUGAUGUACACAAUGCAGAAAAGAUAUUCCACAGAAUGCAAGAAGCUGGUUACGUGGCCAGGUACCAGGUAUUUGGAAUUCUACUUGAAGCCUAUGUAAACGGCAAGACUCCAGCUUACGGAAUGAACCAGAGAAUGAAGGCCGAUAAUAUAGUUCCGAACCAGCGAUUAGCUGCACUGUUAGUCCAGGUAGACCCAUUCAAGAAAACCCCCGCAUCUGAACUUAUGGAUUGAAGACUAGUAGCUUACAAGUAGAAGCAGCAAUACCUAUGUCCGCUGUCCAGCCAACCCCUGUCUUUGACGCUUAUUCUUAUUAUAUAUAAUCCAGAUGUUUCAAAUAUUAUGAACUGCUCUGUGGCUAGUAUUCCCUUCUCCUGUUAGAGCAACAGGAUGUAUAUGAUUAACUACUCUGGAAUUUGUUUACUGUGUUCAGCCCCUAACUUUGUUUAAAACAACGCAGUAUUGAUGCAAUUAGGUCAAAUCGACUUUGUACAUCCAAUUAAAAGUUAAAUGACCUUCUUUCUUUCUUGUUUUUGAAGUUAAUGACCUUUUUGUUUACAUAGUUUCAUACAAACCUCAGUUUUAUGAAACAGAAUAGGAUACAUUUUAUCUGUUUUUGAAAUCUGAUAUUCAAAUACAAAUUCAAUUUCUGUCGUGAAAAAUAAUGAAUUAGAUUUCUCCAUCAGUUCAAUUUCUUUGAUGACAAAUGGUGAGUAUGAUUUUAAACGGUGAAUAUGAUUUUUCUAUUAAUUCAUCUUGUCAUAGACGUUAUACACACAUAUUUAAUGAAUUCUCAUAUUUCUAUUAUUUUUUCUUGAUAUUUAGACGGACAUACACACAUUCAUAUUAAUAAUUGAAGUUUUUUCAAAUAUAUUUUUUAAGUUAUAAUUAUUAUUGCUUAUUAGAAUGCUAGUAGUUUUAAAUGUAGCUGCAAAUAUAAAUUAUGUAUAUUUAUUAAAACAUUCAGAAAUGAUAUUUUUAUGACUUUUAUUUGAAAUUGUGUUUCUAUAAAUUUUUUAAAAAAAUUGCAAUAAUUUUACAAAAAACUUUCUGGACCUUGAUAUUAAAAAAAAAUUCUUAUUUAAAAUUCAUUAACAGGCAGAGACGUGUGUAAUUGAUAUAUUUUUAGAAGAAAUUUUUUCAUUAAAGAAAUACAUAUAUAUUCAACACGAAUUUUAUCAGAUAUAUAAAAAAAAUUGAGAAAUUUAAUUAAAGUUUAUAAUUUAUGUUAUGAAAUCUGGGGCAACAAUGCUAAAACAUGCAUUCAAUUGGGAUUUGGGGAUCAAUGGUAGUCUAAAUGCUAAAAGCAGGCAAGAAGACAUAAUAAUUAAAUGAAUCUUUAUGUAAUUAGGGUUUAUCUAUGGUUUAAAGGCUUUCUUGAAUUUGCAAUUAACACUCGCACUCAUCUUCAUUUCCGGCAGUACCACUAUGUGGGCUCUCCGUCGAUCUUCCAUUUCACUCAAGUAAGUUACACACACAGAGUUGGUUUAAGUUAUAUGAGAUUUUUACUUUCUUAGUAUACUUUUUCAUUAGAUUCAUUCGAGUACUUCAUUUAGUGUCAUUUUAUAUGUUUUUAGCUACUGUAAGUAAUGUUUUCUGUAGUUUGUGUAAUGUUUCUAGUGUAAAAGUGUUGACUUUUUUGGUGUGUUUAAAAUUGUUUUAUAUUGUGUGAUUGACUUGAUUUCUUAGGUUGGUAUUUUGUUUUCUGGGUGAAAAUGAGCUUGAUGGUUUGAAUAUGAGAAGGGUUUAUGCUAAUUACGUACAUUUAUUUUUUUGUAAUCGGGUUUUGUACCAUGUACCUGUCCGAUGUUCGCUUUUGGUGUAGUUUUGGAUUUUGGCAUACUAAAGUGCUGUAUGGAUUGUUACUGGGGAGGGCAGCGCUGGUUGGUUUCCGUUCCAACCAAUUAAAAUGCUCAUUCAAUCACUAGCAAUUGAGAUUAAGGUUUGAGUUCCAGGUUAUAAAAGUUGCGGGUAAGUUUUUUUUUUUUUUUUUUUUUUGGGGGGGGGGGGGUGUUAAACAGAUUUUAGCCUAUUUGAAAUUUAUUUAAAAAUAAAAUUGCUAUUAUUGUCUUAAGUCACGGUGGAACUUCCUCCAGAACAUUAUAUUGAGAAUUAGGGAUAAGUUCUAUGGAGACCACAUUUUCAUUGGAGACUUGGUAAUUACUGCAACUAAAAUACUCCAUAAAAACAUUGCAAAACGUAUUAUUUUUUGAAUUAUGUUCUACAAAGAUCAUUAUUUUAUUGACAAUCUUGCAAAUUUUAUACAUUUGGCAAAUAAAACAUUAAAAAACAUGUUAUUUUACAAAAUCAUGUUUAGUGUGCAGAACAUUUGUUGAUCUUGCAGAACAUACAUGUUCUGCUUGUUUAGCAUAAAUAAUUUUCAACAUUUUCAAUGAAAUAGUGAUAUUUAUCGAAUGCACUUCGCAAAACAAUAAAUUUGGUAGUGUUUUAAUUGCAGAAUAUAAGUGGUCUCCAAGGUCUCCGAUGAGAACGUGGUCUCCACAGAACUUUUCUGGAAUUAUUGUCUGCAGGCAAUAAUCUGUUAUACAAGUAUUUUCUUUAAUCUUAUGUUUAAUGUACUUGCAUAAGUAAUUCCAACUAAGAGUUGUGCUCAGAAAAUAACAUCGUCAAGACUCAAUUAGUGGACUUUUCAUAUUUUAGGUACUCAAGUAGUAGUUACUCGAGCUCUUUCUCCUUAACAUACUUGUAUUACGUUGAAAAGUUUACUUUUAUCACUUAAAGUGAUACAUCUUGUAGAACAGAAAAUGGAUGAAGUGGUUAUUCUUCCUGGAUUGCAGCUUAUAAUAUUAAUCUCAGCAUAAGCUGGGUUGCUGAAAUCUGAGUACUGCUCUGGGAUUUUUCCUGUCUACUUUUUCUGUCUAGGCCUCUUUGAUUAUCUAGGUUUGCAUAAGCAGUUUCUCAUUGAGUUAUACUUGCUCCAGUUCAAAGUAGUAGUCCAAUUUGACUUUUUGUGGUCAAGUUGACCAAACUUUGACUGAAAUUUACACGUAUUUAAGAACUAUUAAAGAGUAUAUAUAAUUUAAUUUAAAAUGUAUUUUCAAUAUCUUAAAAAGAAGAAUUUUUAUUAUCAGUCAAUUAAAAUUUGGUCAAUUUGACAGCACAAAAUUAAAUUGAACUACUAAUUUGAAACGGAGGGAGUAACUAACGAGGAGAUAUUAAAAUUUUACUAUAAGAUUAUAAGUUUUAACUUAUAUGUUCUCUGUUCUUACUAAUAUUAUAUUUUUACCCUACUUAGGAAUCGGGGAAUUACCUUAGGAAGCUUUCAAGCUGGUUCUGCUAAAGUGGGAGUAUCAAGCUCUUACCUAGAACAUGAUGCUGAAAUAGUUGGGCAUGCACAAGUAAUUUCUGAUCCGUUUGUAUGUUCAGUGAGAUAUCAUCAUAAGCAAUGUGAAUCACUAAAACUCUAUAUUGGAAAGCAUCAUUUGUCUUCACAUGCUGGCAUGAGGAGCAAUAAAGAU
rnacentral:lncRNA from 1 species